GUUGUUGGAAGUUCAGCUGGAGGAAGCCGAUGUAUUGGCCAAUAAAACUGCCGAUGUAGUGAAGAAGUUGCAAUCUCAGGUUGAUGCUAUGAGGCAAGAGCUUGUGAAAGCGCAAACAGCUGAGGAGAAAUUAGUUGAGACUGAAUCACUGGUUGAGCAGCUCAGUACGGAGGUGACGGAUGCAAAGAUGGCUGAAGCUGAGGCUGGUAAGAUAGCUGACGAGUGGAAAAGGAAGGCGGAGUUGUUAGAAAUUACGCUGGAAGAAGCCCAUCAAGCCAAGAACGAAACAAUGGAGCUAGUGAAGAUUAUGGAUUCUGAAGUUGAUGCUAUGAAGCAUGAACUCGAGAGAGCAAAGGCAGCUGAAGACAAUUUAAUCGAGAUGGAAGUGAUGGUCCAAAGGCUUAAGGCUGAGGUCGAUGACACAAAGAGGGCCGAAACAGAUGCUUGUAAUCUCCUUGAUGAGUGGAAGCGGAAGGCGGAACUGUUAGAAGAUCAAGUCGAUGAAGCUGAACAGUCCAAGAAAUCCUCACUGGAUGCAUUAGCUUUGGUGUCAAAACAGCUAGAGGAGAGCAAUGCUUUGUUGCAAGAUGCCGAAUCCGAGAUUUCGGUUCUUAAAGGAAAUGUAGGAUCUCUGGAGGAAGAGGUGACAAGACAGAAAGCAGAUUUGUAUGAAUCAGAAC
rnacentral:misc_RNA from 1 species